CAGCCAUGCCGCGUGUAUGAAGAAGGCCUUCGGGUUGUAAAGGUACUUUCAGCAGUGAGGAAGGUUCGAUGCGUUAAUAGCGUAUGGAUUUGACGUUAGCUGCAGAAGAAGCACCGGCUAACUCCGUGCCAGCAGCCGCGGUAAUACGGAGGGUGCGAGCGUUAAUCGGAAUUACUGGGCGUAAAGCGCAUGCAGGUGGUUUGUUAAGUCAGAUGUGAAAAGCCCCGGGGCUCAACCUCGGAAUUGCAUUUGAAACUGGCAGGCUAGAGUCUUGUAGGAGGGGGUAGAAUUUCAGGUGUAGCGGUGAAAUGCGUAGAGAUCUGAAGGAAUACCAGUGGCGAAGGCGGCCCCCCUGGACAAAGACUGACGCUCAGAUGCGAAAGCGUGGGGAGCAAACAGGAUUAGAUACCCUGGUAG
rnacentral:rRNA from 1 species